CCUACGGGUGGCAGCAGUAGGGACUCUUCCACAAUGGGCGAAAGCCUGAUGGAGCAACGCCGCGUGGGUGAUGAAGGUCUUCGGAUCGUAAAACCCUGUUGUUAGAGAAGAACGUGCGUGAUAGUAACUGUUCACGUUUUGACGGUAUCUUACCAGACAGCCACGGCUAACUCCGUGCCAGCAGCCGCGGUAAUACGUAGGUGGCAAGCGUUAUACGGAUUUAUUGGGAGUAAAGGGCACGCAUGCGGUCUUUCAAGUCUAAUGUGAAAGCCUGGUGAUUAACGGUAGUAGUGCAGUGGAAACUGGGAGACGUGAGUGCAGAAGAGGAGAGUGGAACUCCAGGUGUAG
rnacentral:rRNA from 1 species